UACGUAGGGGGCAAGCGUUGUCCGGAUUUAUUGGGCGUAAAGAGCGUGUAGGCGGCCACACAGGUCCGCUGUGAAAACUCGAGGCUCAACCUCGAGCUGUCGGUGGAAACCGUGUGGCUAGAGUCCGGAAGAGGAGAGUGGAAUUCCCGGUGUAGCGGUGAAAUGCGCAGAUAUCGGGAAGAACACCCGUGGCGAAGGCGGCUCUCUGGGACGGUACUGACGCUGAGACGCGAAAGCCAGGGGAGCAAACGGG
rnacentral:rRNA from 1 species